rnacentral:rRNA from 1 species
UACGUAGGGGGCAAGCGUUGUCCGGAAUCAUUGGGCGUAAAGCGCGCGUAGGCGGCCCGGUAAGUCCGCUGUAAAAGUCCAGGGCUCAACCCUGGAAAGCCGGUGGAUACUGUCGGGCUAGAGUCCGGAAGAGGCGAGUGGAAUUCCUGGUGUAGCGGUGGAAUGCGCAGAUAUCAGGAGGAACACCGAUGGCGAAGGCAGCUCGCUGG